UCUGCAGCCUGGAGAGCUCUCCCUGUUGUGCCAAGGCCUCUCAGCCAUACCAGAAGACAGCAAUGUGACAUUUCUAUUCACUCCAGCCUGCCUGCACAAGGACAUGAUUUGUACAUUUGAGGAUGCAGUCUCUUCUGCACACAGAAAUUCCUCAUGAGAAAUCACAGGCAUCUGUUUGCAGAUCUCCAAAUGCUGCAAGGACGACAAAGUCAAGUGGGCUGGAUUACGCUGUGCCUAUAGAAAUUAUUAGGAUAGAGGAUAUGAAUUGGUUAUGCAGGUUUCACAAACCCUGCUCAUAAAAACAAUAAUGUGCUUCUCACUGAUAACUUUGAAAGAUCCUCAUAUCUGAAAAAAACCUCUUUUUAAUUCUUCAAUGACUUGAAAAUUGAAAUAUUUGCAUGGAAAUCAC